rnacentral:sRNA from 1 species
GACAGUCAGAGAGGAGAGACGGAGCAGCGUGGCAGACAGGCUGGCUCUGCACAAGCUCCUGGCGGGGACCAGCAGCGCCUGCAAGGGGGUGGAGGGACAGGCGCUCGGGUGGCCCGGGCCGCCGGCCCCUCACGCUGCCCCCGCUCAGCCUUCAUGCUCUCCCCUGCUUUUCCACAGGCAACUGGACAACAACCACAUCAGCUGCAUUGAAGAUGGAGCCUUCCGAGCGCUGCGCGAUUUGGAGAUCCUUACCCUCAACAACAACAACAUCAGUCGCAUCCUGGUCACCAGCUUCAACCACAUGCCGAAGAUCCGAACUCUGCGCCUCCACUCCAACCACCUGUACUGCGACUGCCACCUGGCCUGGCUCUCGGAUUGGCUGCGACAGCGACGGACAGUUGGCCAGUUCACACUCUGCAUGGCUCCUGUGCAUUUGAGGGGCUUCAACGUGGCGGAUGUGCAGAAGAAGGAGUACGUGUGCCCAGCCCCCCACUUGGAGCCCCCAUCCUGCAAUGCCAACUCCAUCUCCUGCCCUUCGCCCUGCACGUGCAGCAAUAACAUCGUGGACUGUCGAGGAAAGGGCUUGAUGGAGAUUCCUGCCAACUUGCCGGAGGGCAUCGUCGAAAUACGCCUAGAACAGAACUCCAUCAAAGCCAUCCCUGCAGGAGCCUUCACCCAGUACAAGAAACUGAAGCGAAUAGACAUCAGCAAGAAUCAGAUAUCGGAUAUUGCUCCAGAUGCCUUCCAGGGCCUGAAAUCACUCACAUCGCUGGUCCUGUAUGGGAACAAGAUCACCGAGAUUGCCAAGGGACUGUUUGAUGGGCUGGUGUCCCUACAGCUGCUCCUCCUCAAUGCCAACAAGAUCAACUGCCUGCGGGUGAACACGUUUCAGGACCUGCAGAACCUCAACUUGCUCUCCCUGUAUGACAACAAGCUGCAGACCAUCAGCAAGGGGCUCUUCGCCCCUCUGCAGUCCAUCCAGACACU